rnacentral:rRNA from 1 species
ACGCUAGCGAUAGGCUUAACACAUGCAAGUCGAGGGGCAGCGAGAUGUAGCAAUACGUCGUCGGCGACCGGCGAAUGGGUGAGUAACACGUAUGCAACUUACCUCUUAGUGGUGAAUAACCCGAUGAAAGUCGGACUAAUACACCAUAUACUCCUUAGAUCCCAUGAGAAGAGGAGGAAAGGUUAAUCGCUAAGAGAUGGGCCUGCGUUCCAUUAGCUAGUUGGUAAGGUAACGGCUUACCAAGGCAACGAUGGAUAGGGGGACUGAGAGGUUGACCCCCCACAUUGACACUGAGAUACGGGUCAAACUCCUACGGGAGGCAGCAGUGAGGAAUAUUGGUCAAUGGGCGAGAGCCUGAACCAGCCAAGUCGCGUGAAGGAAGACUGCCCGCAAGGGUUGUAAACUUCUUUUGUAUGGGAUUAAAGUCGUCUACGUGUAGGCGUUUGCAGUUACCAUACGAAUAAGCAUCGGCUAACUCCGUGCCAGCAGCCGCGGUAAUACGGAGGAUGCGAGCGUUAUCCGGAAUUAUUGGGUUUAAAGGGUGCGUAGGUUGCAAGGGAAGUCAGGGGUGAAAAGCUGUAGCUCAACUAUGGUCUUGCCUUUGAAACUCUCUAGCUAGAGUGUACUGGAGGUACGUGGAACGUGUGGUGUAGCGGUGAAAUGCAUAGAUAUCACACAGAACUCCGAUUGCGCAGGCAGCGUACUACAUUACAACUGACACUGAAGCACGAAAGCGUGGGUAUCCAACAGGAUUAGAUACCCUGGUAGUCCACGCAGUAAACGAUGAAUACUAGAUCUAUGCGAUAUACAGUAUGGGUCUAAGCGAAAGCGAUAAGUAUUCCACCUGGGGAGUACGCCGGCAACGGUGAAACUCAAAGAGAUGGCGGGGGUCCGCACAACGGAGGAC